GUGACAUUGAAAAAGAGAGAAAUUUUAUUGCAGUCCUGGAAAGUUUGUUCAUUCAACUGGCAUUUAAUAAAGGUUAAUACAUUAAAGUUAAUUAAUUAAGGUCUAAACCAGUUACAACUUGUGCUAAUUAGAGUAGCUUCAAACUUUCUGCAAUUUGUUGAUCGUUGUUUCAUUUCAUACCUCUGGCUCCAAACUUACUGCUGAAUUUGUUACUACGACGAGGAUGGAAACACUGAUCCCUUCUUCUUCCUCGGUGAGUUCAAACUUCGGCGAAAGAGAAUUUUCAUGGCAGAAAUCAAAUCCUCCGAGGGAUUGGUUGGAGGAGACGAAGAUCUAAAUUGCUGACAAAACUUCAUGUGCCGUUCCAAUGCUUCCUCGGUGUCAAUAUCCUUCUGGGACCGGCAAGUCUCAUCCUUGACAGCUUCACUGCAAAGCCCACAAAUCCAGCGACCUCCAUACCUCUCGCGCACACGAGCAAUGUACACUGGUGUGCACUCCUCCGUCAAACCGCAGCAAUCGCAUUUAGCAAACUCAACAUCAAUAGCUGCCGGCGGGUUAGAAGCAUCUUUCAACACCGUGGUGGCGGUAGCCAUUCUGUUACCAUACAAACAAAACACAAAAUCAAAAAUAAGAUUAAGUGAAACCAAAACCCGAAAUUGCGAAAUUCAAAUUUCAAACCCUUCACCUAUUUGAUAUUUUAUCUCUCUUUCUCCCACUGCCUCUCUUGCACUUUCUUUUGAAUUAGCAUUACGUAAAUAUCAGAGCUUCAAUGCCCUGAUCCCUAAACUUUUCAGUUAUGAAAUGGAAUUCUCUUUCAAAUCACCCAAGUGAUUGAAUCCAAGUGGGAGAAUCUUGAGAGAGUCUCUACACUUGCUUUUUGCUGUCUCCUUGCCCAAUCAUUGCCUAAUAUUUACUGCUCUGCUCCUCACCCUGUAACUUCUCUUUCCUACCUUCCUUCCA
rnacentral:misc_RNA from 1 species